rnacentral:rRNA from 1 species
UACAGAGGGUGCGAGCGUUAAUCGGAAUUACUGGGCGUAAAGCGCGCGUAGGCGGCUUUGCAAGUCGGGUGUGAAAUCCCCAGGCUUAACCUGGGAACUGCAUUCGAGACUGCAUUGCUAGAGUAUGGGAGAGGGAAGUGGAAUUUCCGGUGUAGCGGUGAAAUGCGUAGAUAUCGGAAAGAACAUCAGUGGCGAAAGCGACUUCCUGGACCAAUACUGACGCUCAUGUGCGAAAGCGUGGGGAGCAAACAGG